ACGAAGGGUGCAAGCGUUACUCGGAAUUACUGGGCGUAAAGCGUGCGCAGGCGGUGAUGUAAGACAGAUGUGAAAUCCCCGGGCUUAACCUGGGAACUGCGUUUGAAACUGGAAGGCUUGAGUGUGGCAGAGGGGGGUGGAAUUCCACGUGUAGCAGUGAAAUGCGUAGAGAUGUGGAGGAACACCGAUGGCGAAGGCAGCCCCCUGGGCUAACACUGACGCUCAUGCACGAAAGCGUGGGGAGCAAACAGGA
rnacentral:rRNA from 1 species